UGGGGAAUAUUGCACAAUGGGGGGAACCCUGAUGCAGCGACGCCGCGUGAGUGAAGAAGUACUUCGGUAUGUAAAGCUCUAUCAGCAGGGAAGAAAAUGACGGUACCUGACUAAGAAGCCCCGGCUAACUACGUGCCAGCAGCCGCGGUAAUACGUAGGGGGCAAGCGUUAUCCGGAUUUACUGGGUGUAAAGGGAGCGUAGACGGCAUAGCAAGUCUGAAGUGAAAGCCCGGGGCUCAACCCCGGAUGUGCUUUGGAAACUGUUAAGCUGGAGUGUCGGAGAGGUAAGUGGAAUUCCCGGUGUAGCGGUGAAAUGCGUAGAUAUCGGGAGGAACAUCGGCGGCGAAGGCGGCUUACUGGACGACAACUGACGUUGAGGCUCGAAGGCGUGGGUAGCAAACA
rnacentral:rRNA from 2 species